rnacentral:ncRNA from 1 species
AGACCCUAUUAAGUAUAGCUUGAUAUUUGAGCGUGAAAAGAUGCGCUCUUUAAAUUGGGUGAAUUGCUGGAAAGCUAAACUGCAUACGCAGCAUGCCAAUCAGCAGCCAAGUCUGGGAAUAGCAUAAAAGUACCAGGAAGGUUCAGAGACUAGAGUGGUGAGUAGCUACGUAAUAAUCCACUCCACGAGUGCCCAAUUUAAUAAGAAUAUAUGUUCGUAUAUUAUUUGCUUUUUAUCGCAUAAUAUAAAUAUAAUUCUUAUUAAAAUGAUAUAGUCCAAUCUGAGUUAGAAUUGACUAA